rnacentral:rRNA from 1 species
GAUGAACGCUGGCGGCGUGCCUAAUACAUGCAAGUCGAGCGAACAGACGAGGAGCUUGCUCCUCUGACGUUAGCGGCGGACGGGUGAGUAACACGUGGAUAACCUACCUAUAAGACUGGGAUAACUUCGGGAAACCGGAGCUAAUACCGGAUAAUAUAUUGAACCGCAUGGUUCAAUAGUGAAAGACGGUUUUGCUGUCACUUAUAGAUGGAUCCGCGCCGCAUUAGCUAGUUGGUAAGGUAACGGCUUACCAAGGCAACGAUGCGUAGCCGACCUGAGAGGGUGAUCGGCCACACUGGAACUGAGACACGGUCCAGACUCCUACGGGAGGCAGCAGUAGGGAAUCUUCCGCAAUGGGCGAAAGCUUGACGGAGCAACGCCGCGUGAGUGAUGAAGGUCUUCGGAUCGUAAAACUCUGUUAUUAGGGAAGAACAAAUGUGUAAGUAACUAUGCACGUCUUGACGGGACCUAAUCAGAAAGCCACGGCUAACUACGU